rnacentral:rRNA from 1 species
CCUACGGGGUGCAGCAGGCGCGAAAACUUCACACUGCAGGAAACUGUGAUGAGGGAACUCCAAGUGACUGCACAUUGUGUAGCCUUUUCUCAACUAUUAAUCGGUUGUGGAAUAAGGGCUGGGAAAGACCGGUGCCAGCCGCCGCGGUAAUACCGGCAGCUCGAGUGGUCGUCGCUUUUAUUGGGCCUAAAACGUCCGUAGCCUGUUUGGUAAAUCUGUGGGUAAAUCAACCAGCUUAACUGGUUGAAUUCUGCAGAGACUGCCAGACUAGGGACCGGGAGAGGUGUGGGGUACUCUAGGGGUAGGGGUAAAAUCCUGUCAUCCUUAGAGGACCACCAGUUGCGAAGGCGCCACACUGGAACGGAUCCGACGGUCAGGGACGAAGCCUAGGGGCACGAACCGGAUUAGAUACCCGGGUAGUCCUAGGUGUAAACGCUGUGAACUUGGUGUCGGGAGUCCGCAAUGGGCCCCCGGUGCCGGAGUGAAGAUGUUAAGUUCACUGCCUGGGGAGUACGGUCGCAAGGCUGAAACUUAAAGGAAUUGGCGGGGGAGCACUGCAACGGGAGGAGCGUGCGGUUUAAUUGGAUUCAACGCCGGAAAACUCACCAGGGCCGACUGUUAUAUGAAGACCAGCGUAAUGAGCUUGUCGGAUUUUCAGAGAGGUGGUGCAUGGCCGUCGUCAGUUCGUACUGUAAAGCGUUCUGUUAAGUCAGAUAACGAACGAGACCCUCAUCUCUAUUUGCUACCUGUCUCUCCGGAGGCGGCGCACUAUAGGGAGACCGCUGGUGUUAAACCAGAGGAAGGCGAGGGCAACGACAGGUCAGUAUGCCCCGAAUGUCCUGGGCUACACGCGCGCUACAAAGGACGGGACAAUGGGAAGCCAGGCCGAGAGGCCGAGCUAACCCGAAACCCGUUCAUAGUUCGGAUCGAGGGCUGUAACUCGCCCUCGUGAAGCUGGAUUCCGUAGUAAUCGUGUUUCAAUAUAGCACGGUGAAUAUGCCCCUGCUCCUUGCACACACCGCCCGUCAAACCAUCUUAGUUGGGGGUGGGUGAGGCUGCGCUUUAUGGCGUAUUCGAGCCUGCCUUCGACAAGGAGGGUUAAGUCG